rnacentral:rRNA from 1 species
GACGAACGCUGGCGGCGUGCUUAACACAUGCAAGUCGAACGGAAAGGCCCGGCGCUUGUGGGGUGCUCGAGUGGCGAACGGGGGAGUAAAACGCGAGGAACCUGCCCUUGACUGUGGGAGAACUUCAGGAAACAGGGGCGAAUACCGGAGAGAAGCUACUGCUGCACGGGGGGGGUUGGAAAGUGUCGGCGGUGGGGGAUGGACUAGCGGGUUAUGAGCUGGUUGGUGGGGUAGUGGCUUCCCACGGCUUUGACGGGUAGGCGGCCUGGGAGCGUGACCGGCCACCAUGGUCCUGCGAUACGGCCCAGUAUCCUACGGGCCGCAGCAGUCGGGAAUCUUGCACAGUGGGCGGACGUCUGAUGCAGCAGCGCCGCGUGCGUGAUGCCGGCCUUCGGGUUGUAAACCACUUUCGACUGUGCCGAAGCCUGCGUGACGGUACUUGGUCAGGAAGCCCCGGCUAACUACGUG